UAGGAGUUAGUUUAAGUGGAGAAUUAUUGAUUGUUGAUCAGAGGGUGUACUCUUAA
rnacentral:tRNA from 1 species